GUAGUCCACGCCCUAAACGAUGCGAACUGGAUGUUGGGUGCAAUUUGGCACGCAGUAUCGAAGCUAACGCGUUAAGUUCGCCGCCUGGGGAGUACGGUCGCAAGACUGAAACUCAAAGGAAUUGACGGGGGCCCGCACAAGCGGUGGAGUAUGUGGUUUAAUUCGAUGCAACGCGAAGAACCUUACCUGGCCUUGACAUGUCGAGAACUUUCCAGAGAUGGAUUGGUGCCUUCGGGAACUCGAACACAGGUGCUGCAUGGCUGUCGUCAGCUCGUGUCGUGAGAUGUUGGGUUAAGUCCCGCAACGAGCGCAACCCUUGUCCUUAGUUGCCAGCACGUAAUGGUGGGAAC
rnacentral:rRNA from 1 species